AAAAUUCAAGUAGUGUUCUUUAAAAUAACAUGUUUGCUUUACUCACAACUUCAUGCAUUUAAAAAUACAGGCACGUUUCUUGUCAGUUUAAACUUUAAAACAUUUCGGUUUGUGUUUUUAACUUCCAGCCUUUAUCAGUCUCUUCAACACUAUACAGCUCUGUACAACUGUCUUCCAUAACUGUCUACUGUCAUCUUCAACGGUCAUUCCCUCAAUUGUCACCUUUCAAACUGUGUUCUAAACAAUCACUGAUCUGGUUACAUGGUCUGCAGCCCCUUCCACUGCCUCAAGAACAUAGAGUUAGGGAAAACUGCAUAGCAAGGAACACACAUACACUUCAGUAAAAAAAACAUGAUAUACAGACAAAUCAUUAAACAGAGGAGGCUUGAGAAAGUUGCCUAUUUCCAACACUUUAUCCAGUCACUGUCGGUGUAGAGGUGGAUGAUCCCUUCUCUUUUGAGAUCUACAGCCAGCAGCUGAUUCUAUUUCCAGGGGCCUUACAGCUUCUCAGCUGCUCCUUCCUGGAUUUGUUUUCAGAGUGCUCAUGGCCCUCCAGUUCCUGCUGCUGGUAAGUAACCCAAAAAGUGGGCCUCCAGCCUCACCAUUUUGGCCUGCUUCUCUUCCAGGAGGGCUCUGAUCAUCUCAUGAAGUUGCCUGGUCUUUGCCCCUCAUUGACACUACUUGCCAAAUUGGGUGCCAUUAGGUGUUUUCCACAUAUGGUUUUCUCACCCCUGAAAUGGGGGGCCGGGUGAGCAGCUCUGCUUCACUCCAUGGGCAGAGCUCCUUCCUUCUUCUUGCUGUUGCUCCUUCAUUUUUAAGAGAGAAAAAAAAGAAAUUGGGGAAGAUGGUAGGGUCUGGAACAGUUGGAUGGAGACAGAGUUGGGGAAGGAAGAAGGGGGACGAGUGCAGAAAAAUACUGAGAAAAGACAACAAGCAUCUCAAAACACUUCCUUCUCCAACUGUCUCCAACAAUGAGGCCAGUGCUGGCCAAGGCAGGGGCCAUUGUGAGGUGGCAGUGAUGCGCAUCGGGGCUGUUCUGAGGCCAGCAGUCAUCUUGCCUCCUUUGAAUUGCCAUUGCCAGGGUUAGUGAGAAAAGGUGACACCUUCAGCUAUUGGGAUUGUGGACCCAAGGGAAAGGCCCCUCCUCUACCCAAGAGGGGAUCCAAGUCUCCAUACAUAAUGCAUGGAUGUAUCAUAGACGCUUUAUGAGACCCAUAACCAUGAAAUCAUCCUGCCUCUUUUGAACUGCCAUUGCCAGGUGGACGAGUUGGCUGGACAGGGAGAGGAUGGGACCCAGAGGGAAUAAGCGUUAUGGGGAAGAGAGGACCUCUUCGACCAUUGCGACUUGGGCUUCUCCUCUACCCCAAUGGAGACCCAGGUCUCUAUACAUAAUGCAUGGAUGUAUUACAGACGCUUUAUGAGACCCAUAACCCUGAAGUCAUCCUGCCUCUUUUGAACUGCCAUUGCCAGGUAGAGAACUUGGCUCGGCGGGGGGAGAAGGGGACCAAGAGGGAAUGUGUUGUGGGGACCCCUUCAACCAUUGCGACUUGGGCCCCUCCUCUACCCCAGUGGAGAUCCAGGUCUCCAUACAUAAUGCAUGGAUAUCACAGAUGCUUUAUGAGACCCAUAACCCUGAGGGUCAUUUCUCCUUAGUCAUUUUUUGAACACCUGCCAUUCUUUUUCAUCUUUUUCAAGGUACCUGCCUUUCUUCUUGCUAUUUUUGGGGACAUCCCUAAUUCUUCUUCUUCACUUCAGGGGUGCCCUCCAUUGUUCUUUUUUUUUAAAAAAAAUAUUUUUUUAAUUAAUUAAGUCUAUUUAUCCAUUUAUUUUAUUUACUGUAUUUAUAUACCGCCUUUCUCUACCCUGAAGGGGAUUCAAGUUGACUUACAUAUGGCAAUUAUUCAAUGCCUUAAACACAUACAAAACAUUAAGUUUAAAAUAAAUUGAAUUAAAAUAAAUACAUAUUAAGCAUUUAAAAAACAUUACAUUCAAUAUUAAAAUCACACCAUCCAGAAAUCGUAGUCUAAGGCCGUUCCAUAGUCAUUGCAUAUAUUCCAAAUCUAUUGCACUGCACUAUUCUCUGAAAUAUUUCACAUGCCAGUAAGAUAAUGCUCAAGAUCCUGUAAGGUAGACUUCAGCAAUACAUGAAGCGAGAGUUGCCAGAUGUCCAAGCUGGAUUCAGAAAAGGCAGGGGAACAAGAGACCAAAUUGCCAAUAUCCUCUGAAUAAUGGAUAUUAUUGCACCUGUUGCUUGAACAAUUUAUAAUCUCUAUGGGUCUCCUCAGACAUGUCUAAAAGUUUCCCGCUAAUUUGAAGUCUCAAAUAAAUCAUCCACUUCUCCUCACUAACUUCGAAAUCCUUACAGCACCUUUCAAAUGAAAUUAAAAACUUUUCCACAUCAUCGUCCUUAUUAUACCUAGGGAAUCUCUUCAGAAUCAUGUCUGAUGCCUCAGCUCUAGAGUCCCCUUCCUGGGUAUGGAUAUGUGGUUGAGAUAGUGUUAACCUCUGUUUUUCUACCUCUAUCUCCAUUCUUCUUAGUUCCACCUCUCUAUCUUUUUCCACCUUCCUCAGUUCUCUUUCUUUUUCUUCAGCCUGAAAUUUUCUUUCUCUUUCUCUAUCCUCCAUUUCUAACUUUCUCAUCUCCAGUCUAUAUUUAAGAGUCAUUUCUGACACCAAUGUUUGUUCAGAAUCUGAACUCUCUUCCAGAUAUGCACCUGCUUCUUCAGCAACUUUUUUCUGUCGUCUAGUGGCCAUUUCUGUCAAACUUUACCUCACGAUUUUCUUCUCUAAGCGAUCUUAAGGCACUAAACUUAGGUGUUACACGGAAUCCCGACGCUGCCACCAAUUGUAAUAGAUGAGCAGGGAUGGUGAUGUGACAGGGAGGAAUCCUUUUGAUCCCACCGCUGCCACCAAAUUGGAAUGAUGAUGUGAAAGCCAAUUGUAAAUGCUGUUUUCACUGCUGAGGGGAUUUUUGAAUCUUUUAAUCCCUCUAGAUUAUAUAUAUAUCACCUUUAUAUGAGGGGAAGGAUUACAGGGGGUGAUCUUUAUUUCAAGAUCCCAGCCUCUGUCUCGGUAGUUAGGGAUUUCUGUGUUGUGGUUCCCUUUCUGAGGUAACUGCGACUAUUAUUCUUCCCCAAUUAGGUGAUUUAUUAAGGUAACUGCCACCAACGUGAGGCUUUUGAAUUAUCACUGAUGAAAUUUGUGAUAGCUUUUAAUUUGAUCUAAUACCGAUCAAAUCUCUGAUCACUAGUCUUUUCUCAACUAGAGAUCUUAACUAGGCUCCCUUUAGUCUGCCCUGACUAAAGAUUUUUUGGCCAGGCCUGUCUCCUCAGCCCUUCUUGACUGAAAAGCCUCCAGCCACGCACACACACACUCUCACUCACUCACUUUUUUUAAAACUGCCCUUUUUUCUUUUUCUUGGCUCCGCCCACUUCUCCCUCUGAUGAGCUAGCCAGCUUCGUCUCCUUGGUAACCGCACUACUGUGGAUUGAAACAAGAUGGCUUCUGUUUCAGCUACUGUGUCAACUGAACACAAAUACAUUCUCCAACAAUCAAAAUUAAAACAAUAACUAUGACUUCUCCACAUAAGUAAAUAAGAGAAAAUAAGUAAAUCUUCAUGGCAUAGCCUUGCUUAGUUUUAAAUGGUGUAGCUGAUAAGAAAAGCCAAAAGGAUUACCUCACUGCCUCUAGUUUUAAAAGCUUUUGUUUUUGCCUUGUAUCUUCCCCUUUCAUGAUGUAUGUUGUUUGUUCAAACAUAUAAAAGGGAUGGGAGGCAAAGGAGGAUGGGCCAGUCAGUUUAGAGACGGUCACCUUUGUCUGGCCAGGACAAAUAAAAGCUUGUUUUUCCUUUUUUUUUUUUUUUUUACUCUCCUUGGAAUUCUCUUUUUUCCUCUCUCUCUUCUAAAGCGCUAAAAAAGACCCAGGGGUCAAGUCCCUUACAAUACCACUCUGAUAGCUGAAAGUGAGGAGGAGCUGAAGAGCUGCAUCAAGGUGAAAGAAGAAAGUGCAAAAGCUGGGUUGCAGUUAAACAUCAAGAAAACCAAGAUGAUGGCAACCAGACUGAUUGAUAACUGGCAAAUAGAGGGAGAAAACAUGGAGACAGUUACAGACUUCAUAUUUCUAGGAGCGAAGAUCACUGCAGAUGCAGACUGCAGCCAGGGAGGAAGAAGACAUUUACUUCUUGGGAGGAAAGCAAUGACCAACCUUGAUAAAAUAGUGAAGAGCAGAGACAUCACACUGGCAACGAAGGUCCGCAUAGUUAAAGCAAUGGUAUUCCCCGUAGUAACCUAUGGAUGCAAGAGGUGAACCAUAAGGAAGGCUGAGCGAAGAAAGAUAGAUGCUUUUGAAUUGUGGUGCUGGAGGAAAAUUCUGAGCGUGCUUUGGACUGCAAGAAGAUCCAACCAGUCAAUCCUCCAGGAAAUAAUGCCCGGCUGCUCGCUGGAGGGAAGGAUAUUAGAGGCAAAGCUGAAGUAUUUUGGCCACAUCAUGAGGAGACAGGAAAGCUUGGAAAAGAUCAUGAUGCUGAGGAAAAUGGAAGGAAAAAGGAAGAGAGGCCAACCAAGGGCGAGAUGGUUGGAUGGUAUCCUUGAAGUGACUGGCUUGACCUUGAAGGAACUGGGGGCGGCGACGGCCGACAGGAAGCUUUGGUGUGUGCUGGUCCAUGAGGUCACGAAGAGUCGGAAGCAACUGAAAGAAUAAACAACAACAAAAUUCUCUGAAAGCCUGAUUCCAGAGCCAGGUUUUUACUUUCCUUCUGAAGGCUAGGAGGGAGGGAGCUGAUCUAAUAUCACUAGGGAGGGAGUUCCACAGCUGAGGAACCACUGCUGAGAAGGAUUUUUACAAUAUUUUAAAAAGAGAAAGUUGGAUAUAGGGGGCCAUGGGGAUAGGGAAACUAAUGCAGGUGAACAGGCAAUAGAAUAUCCUUAAAAAAGGAAAUAGAAGAAAAAAUAUAAUGCUGCAGCGUUAUACACUCAAAUUUCUAAGGGGCUGGGGAAGGAAAGAAUAUAGAAGAAAAAUUGAUGUCCCAUCUUCUCCACCAUGGUCUACAUUGUCCUUUAUUGAUUCUCUCCCCUUGUUGGUAUUUCUAAUUGGUAACAUUUUUUCUCUUUGUUUUCAAUAUGAUUCUAUUAUCAAAUUUACUUUAUCUUGUAUCAUAUAGUCUCUUAUUACUGUCCAAUCCGUUGUUUUCUUUCAAAUAAUAAAAAUAAGUAAAUUAUAAUUUUUGGUUUCAUAUUUUUCCCACUCUUCUAAUUUGACUGUAUGUCCAAUAUUGGCAGUCCAUUUGAUCAUGCACUGCGUGCCCUCCACUCUUCUUGUCCAUUUCAAGGGCACCCCUAGUUAUCUUCUUUGUGUCAGGAGCACUCUACAGUCUUCUUGCUCAUUUCAAAGAUGCCCCCCCCUUCAUUUCAGGAGAACUCUCCAUUCCUCUUGUUCAUUUCUAGGGCCCCCUCUCCAUUCUUCUUCACCUCAGGAGCACCUUUCAUCCCUCUUGUUCAUUCUUCUUGUUGAUGCCAGGGACACCCCUUAUUUUUCUUGUUCACUUCAAGGGCUCUCGGGUCUCAUACAUUUUAUUAUCUCGUGUCUCAUAGAUUUGUGAGUUUAAAAACAAAUACAAUAUUUUUUACACAAAGAAAAAAUUAAAAAGGGGGUAUAUGGGUUGUGGAGCUACGAUUAGUCAAUUAGGAUUAUAUUAUAUCAUUGAGGAAGAGCUUGAUGCUGAAUCUAACCCUCCUGUGUUCAUGUUGAGCCCCUGCCUCAAUCUUAAGAGUCUGCAAUAGAUACCAGAACACUGUCACUUCCCACCUAAUCUAUUUCUAUUCAGAGCAACAUAGACACCUUUCCUAUUGUCCUUGGUCACUUGGGAUCUAUGGAGCUGCUAGAUCAGGCACAGGCAAACUUGGGCUUUCCAGGUGUUUUGGACUUCAAUUCCCACAAUUCCUAACAGCUUCAGUCCCUUUCCUUUUCUCCUCAGCUGCUUAAGCUAGAUCCACAUGUAAAUGUCUUGCCCAACAGCUGUUGGGAGCUGGAAUUGCAAUAUUUCUUUUUCUGACCUUUGUCUAGUUCUGUUUAUCCCGCUGAAGAGGCUCACAAGAGUGGGGCUCCAUCAUUCCACCUUUUCAUUGAGACUUUUGGAGGAAACAUAUAUUAUGCCAUUUAAUCUCUUUGUUUAUAGAGAUGCUGUGAUCAACUUUGUCUCAUUGCCAGCGGCAGAUUUCUACUCAGAGAGAUGAGAGAGAUGUUUGCCCAUCCCUGUUGCGGGAGAUGAAAGGGAAUUUUCAGGGAUGUUUCCAAUGACUAUGGAUUUUUUGCUAAUGCCGCAAGUUAGAAACAUGAAGUACAAACUAACCAAGACACCAAUGCACUGAUUCAGCAUUCCAGAAGCCCUUCCCUCAUUGGCCUCUCUGCCUAUCACUAUAUUCUCUCUUCCUAUCACCCUGAGAAGACAGGAAAGCUUGGAGAAGAUACUGCUGCUGGGGAAAAGGAAGGAAAAAGGAAGAGGGGCCAACCAAGAGCAAGAUGGAUAGAUGGUCUCCUUGAAAUGACUGGCUUGUUCUUGAAGGAGCUGGAGGUGGCGAUGGCCUACAGGGAGCUCUGGCGUGGACUGGUCCAUGAGAUCAUGAAGAGUCGGAAGUGACUGAAUGAAUAAACAACGAAAUCACCCUGCUUGUUAGACUGGUGCUUUUGAAAGACACACCUCUUUCUAUACUAAGUUUCUGAGCACAUGGCAAGGUUCAGAGUCCUCUAUUGUUGUUGUUCUCCUGCAAGAACAGAGACAAGAGGUCAGCUGUGAAUUAUUUAGUUAUAGCUAAGCCCUGUGUUAACUUUCCUGUCUAGAUACAUAUGUAGUUCUUUGAAUAAAGUGUUUUAUAACUUUUAAAGUUUGGCUCUGCUCCUGGUCGAGUUCAAUCGCUCUACUGUUGUAAUUAAUAGCUUUUGAUCUGCUGCUGUUGCUACUACACCAUUUUUAAAUGCUUUUUUUCUAUUUUGGAAAUUACUCCCAACAUCCAUAUCUAGUCUCUACGGGUGUAGAGAAGGUGGAUCCCUUCUCUUUUUGAGAUCUGGUGCCAGCAGCUCCUUCUACCUCCAGGGGCCUUAUAGCUUCUCAGCUGCUCCACCCUGGAUUUGUUUUCAGAGUGCUCAUGGCCCUCCAGUUCCUGCUGCUGGUAAGUAACCCAAAACGUGGGCCUCCGGCCUCACCAUUUUGGCCUGCUUCUCUUCAAGGAGGGCUCUGAUCAUCUCAUGAAGUUGCCUGGUCUUUGCCCCUCAAUGACACUACUUGCCAAAUUGCGUGCCAUUUGGUGUUUUCCACAUAUGGUUUUCUCACCCCCGAAAUGGGGGCAGGAUGAGCAGCUCUGCUUCACUCCAUGGGCAGAGCUUCUUCCGUCUUCUUGCUGUUGCUCCUUCAUUUUUUAGGGGUAAAAAUGAAAUUGGGGAAGAUGGUAGGGUCUGGAACAGUUGGGUGGAGACAGAGUUGGGGAAGGAAGAAGGGGGACGAGUGCAGAAAAAUACUGAGAAAAGACAACAAUCAUCUCAAAACACUUCCUUCUCCAACUGUCUCCAACUAUGAAGGCAGUGCUGGCCAAUGCAAAUAGGCUUGCAGGGGCCAUUGUGAGGUGGCAGUGAUGCGCAUCGGGGCUGUUCUGAGGCCAACAGUCAUCCUGCCUCCUUUGAACUGCCAUUGCUAGGGUUAGGGAGAAAAGAUGACACCUUCAGCUAUUGGGGUUUAGGAUCCGGUGACCCCAGAGGCCACGACAAGCGAAAGGCCCCUCGUCUACCCAAGAGGAGCCAAGUCGCCAUACAAAAUUAAUUGAUGUUUCACAGGCGCUUGUAUGAUGUCAACAGCUGAGACUGAAUCCUAAAAACGUCGCAAUGGGUGGAAGCUCAAUAGGAGCGACGAGAAACUGCAAAUUGCUUCUGGUGUGAGAGAAUAGGCCCUCUGCAAGGACGCUGCCCAGGGGACACCCGGACGUUUGAUGUUUUACCAUCCUUGUGAGAGGCUUCUCUCAUGUCCCCGCAUGGGGAGUUGGAGCUGACAGAAGGAGCUCACCCACACUCCCCGGAUUUGAGCUGCCAACCAGUUGGUCAGCAGUCUUGGCGGCACAAGGGUUUACCAUGAAAAGAUUGCCGUAAAAUGGAUGGACUACAAUGGCAUUGGCAUACCACCUCUACUCUGAGCCAACAGCAACUGUGCGGUUUUGUUUGGUGUGCUUACAUUCAGAAGAUGAAUGCCUAAGAGGUCAACUGUAUCUCUCCAAUACCAUUAUGAGCACAGGGAUCUACUCCGUAUCUCAAUGUCAACAACCAUGUUCACUUAAUGUUGCACAGAGAAAAUUUUAUUUUUGCAACAUCAAGCUUCAACAUUACAUAGUUGCCAAUUUUAGAUGAUUAUAGGAAAGAGUAAACAACUAGAAAACCCUUGUUUAGCAUCUCACCUUUGAUGUUGUAGUGCUUGUAACAAUGUUGUUUUUGUGUCAAUCUGGUAUAUCUCUCUUCUUUCUUCAUCUUCAUAAUAAAGCUGUGUAAUUUAAUGUGAGAAACAUACAAGAACAAGUAACAUUAUCUUAUAUAAGAUAUUUAUGAAGAUUAACAAUUAUAUACACUAUGGGGAAAAAGUGAACAGCUAAUGUUGUAACCCGCCUCAAGCCGUGAGGAUAGGUGGGCAAGAAAUAAAAAUUAUUAUUAUUAUUAUUAUUGGUAAAGGUUUUCCCCUGACAUUAAGUCCAGUCGUGUCCAACUCUGGACGUUGGUACUCAUCUCCAUUUCUAUGCUGAAGAAAUGCUGAAGAGCCGGCGUUGUCAGUAGACACCUCCAAGUUCAUUAUUAUUUUUCUGGGUUAGAUCUGAGGGCCUUGCAUUAAUUGGACAGAACAGUGGUAGUUGAGACCUUGGAUUCAAGAUCCGUUCAUUAUCUCGCUUCAGAAACGAAAACUUGAGAUGUGGUAGAUUUACAUCAUUGAAAUAUCUCUGCUAUGAAGAACACUAUUUCCCCAAUAACAGGAGUUGAACAAACAUAGUGCCAUCACUGCUCCAGGCCAUCACAUUUCAAAUGUGUCCUUUCUCCAAAGAUUUUUUUUCAGAUGUGAGAGGAACCAGACAAAAAUGACAGCACACAGAAACACACUCUCGCUACAAGUAUGUAUACAUGCAAAUUAACUCUUAUCCUUGUAUUAAAUGAAUUAUAAAAGUGACCUCUCUUUACACAAUUUAGUAUGUAAAAGGACAAAACUACCAGGUGUAGUUUCUUACCUCUAGUUUAUUGGGUGUAUACUUCCUUUCUGAAUCCCAGGGAGGUAGCUCUUCAAACAUAACUAUUAAAUGGUCAAUAAAUCUGAAAUGUAAGAUGCUUCAAGUUAUUCAACUUAACACUAGUACUGCAAAAUAGCUGAGUAUCAGCAACUACUACAGUAUACCUGAAUUCCAGAUAGGCUAACAUCUUUGUAAUGUAAGACAGCGUAUUCAUAAAGGGCAUUCAUAAAAAGUAAAGGUAAAGGUUUCCCCUGAUGUUAAGUCCAGUCAUGACCGACUCUGGGGGUUGGUGCUCAUCUCCAUUUCUAAGCCGAAGAGCCGGCGUUGCCCAUAGACAUCUCCAGGUCAUGUGGCUGGCAUGACUGCAUGGAGCACCGUUACCUUCCUGCCGGAGCGGUACCUAUUGAUCUACUCACUCUGGCAUGUUUUCGAAUUGCUAGGUUGACAGAAGCUGGAGCUAACAGCGGCCGCUCACACCGCUCCCGGGAUUUGAACCUGGGACCUUUCAGUCUGCAAGUUCAGCAGAGUGCUUUAACACACUUCGCUACCGGGGCAUUCAUAUUAGCUCUUAAAUAUUUUGUAAUAAUUUGACACAUUUGGGGGGAAAGCAUAAAUGACCUUACUUUUAAUCUUAGACAGAAAUGUACUCAUAUUCCAAGAGUCAAUUUGGUUUAUAGCCCUGCUGGAAAAACUGCAAUGAGUUAUGCUUGCUACACUUGUUGGGAUUUGUAGUCCAAUUUCUAGAGGACCUGCACUUUUAUCCACCGUUAUUUAACAAAAUCCCUCCUUUUUGCCUAAAGAGGUCUCUCCUUGGAAACAGCUUUGUUAAGAUGGGGGAACGGUAUACUAGUGUUACUUUGAGAGGAGAAAAAAGUGUUUGGAAGACUAUAGAUCCACAACCAUUUCUUCAAGACUUCAACCAUUCCUGAUUUCCUCCAGAAUGUGGGGUAACUAGUCCAGCCUUGGAGCUGACACAGUUCUUAUUAGUUCUUUUCCUAGGGAAAGGAAAAUUUGAAGAAACAGGGUGAAAUUCUUACAAAAAAUCCACUCCUUCCAUGAAAAAUGUUUGCUGCUUCCACUAGGGAAGGCUUUCAAAUUGGCAAACAUUCCAACAGAACCUCACUAAAAUGAUUAAUACAAUAUGACCCCCACAUCCAUAGGGGAUACAUUCCUGGAUUUACCAUGGAAAUUCAAAAAUGUGGAUAAUGGGGAAUCCUGCUGAAAAGAACCACUCCAGUGGAAGAAUACUACAGAAUUGCACUGGAGGAACUAGAAAAUAUAGAGAGAGAACACAUCUCCAGCAUUUCUAAGUUCUCCUGCCUGACUCUAUGGUCAUAUUCUGGUGGGAGCACGCCACAGAAUCAAUGCUUAGAGAAGCUUUUCUUUUUUGGAAAUGGGUAAGUGAAUCUAUAGGUACCAAACCCAAAGAUAUGAGGGUUGCUCUGUCCCAUAGAAUGACAACUAUCUGUAGGAUACCUCCUAAAGGACCACUCUGUGAAAGUGUAGUGCAUGAUAGGGCAGUAAGCAUGAUCUCACUUGCUAAGCACAUGCAAAGUAACUUCUUAAAAGUCCUACUAAAAUACUGAAAACGUAACUAAUUAAUCAUGUGAGUGGGGCCUGCAGCCUCCCUCCUUUCAAGUGAUCUUAUUCUGUGUAUAUACUAAGUUUUACAAAUAUUAACCUGGAUUCUUCACGAAAAGCAGAGAUGAAGUCACUUUGCCCAUGCUCUGGAUACAGGAACAACACUGGCCAAGUAAGACUGCCAUCCUCUUCUAGGUGGACUUUGGCACCAAUUGUGCUUUCUGAACUAAGUCCAUCUAAAGACAUCUCAGCAAAGCCUGAGAAUGUCUCAGUUUCAUCUUCAGAUGAUGCCACAGACAAUUUGAUAUUACGAUCCUACAUUGG